CCCAGGGCUGGGAGUGCUCAGCUGAGAAUGUUCUGGAAGCUGUGCCCCGCCCUGACCCCCAGAGGAGCCUGGGCCUGCGGUCCUAGGGGAUAAGAAGGGCUCUGCAUGGAGGACAUUGGUCCUGCUGAGGCUUCCAGAGGUUGGCAAUUUUCUGUAGAUUGGAUACUUUACAAAGUUCCCCAGGAUGAAACCCAGGAGUGCGGAGCUGAGCUCACAGUGGGCCCUGAGCCAGAGAGAGGAGACGCUAGGAGAAGGACCCCUCCUGAGGGCUGCAAAAAGCUUCCAGGCCUCCAUGUUGAUGGCAGAGCAGGCAAGGCAGCUCACCCUUCACCCUGCUGACUUCUGUGCACAUUUGGGGCCACGUUUUCAACAGCUCCGGCACUGGAGCCAAGAUAAAGUCAGCCUAAGGUUUCCACCUCUAAUCCAGCCCCUCAGAUGCAGCUGAUGUCUUAGCCACCACACACAGCAACCUUUUUUGUCUUCACAGUUGUCUCUGAAGCAGCUUCCAACUAAAUAAAAGCAGCUUUGUAAAGGACACAUCAUUGAGGCUCUCGUGACCUGUGCCAGGUGGGAGGAAGUGACCUCUGCUCUAUUUCCCAGCCCUGAUACCCAGCCUGGCAUCAGGCGGGGGGGGCUGUUGCCUGGUUACCCAUUUGCAUUUGUAAUUUAUCAGCGUUCUCCAAAUCAUAAAGGUUUGGGUUUUAGUUAUGCAUGUCUGGCCCCUGGAAGAAAGGCUGAAUGAGAUCCCUCAGGGAGGUAAAGCUUUGGUCCCUGAAUCAUCUCUU
rnacentral:lncRNA from 1 species